CCUACGGGGGGCAGCAGUGGGGAAUAUUGCGCAAUGGGCGAAAGCCUGACGCAGCGACGCCGCGUGAGGGAUGAAGGUCUUCGGAUCGUAAACCUCUGUCAGCAGGGAAGAACGGUCACUGUGCUAAUCAGCAGUGAAUUGACGGUACCUGCAAAGGAAGCACCGGCUAACUCCGUGCCAGCAGCCGCGGUAAUACGGAGGGUGCGAGCGUUAAUCGGCAUUACUGGGCGUAAAGCGCUCGUAGGCGGUAUGUCAAGUCAAGGGUGAAAUCCCCGCGCUAAACGUGGGAACUGCCUUUGAAACUGGCAAACUGGAGUGUGUGAGAGGAUAGGGGAAUUCCAGGUGUAGGAGUGAAAGCCGUAGAUAUCUGGAGGAACAUCAGUGGCGAAGGCGACUAUCUGGCACAUAACUGACGCUGAGGAGCGAAAGCGUGGGUAGCAAACAGGAUUAGAUACCCUUGUAGUC
rnacentral:rRNA from 1 species